UAGGGAAUCUUCGGCAAUGGACGAAAGUCUGACCGAGCAACGCCGCGUGAGUGAAGAAGGUUUUCGGAUCGUAAAACUCUGUUGUUAGAGAAGAACAAGGACGUUAGUAACUGAACGUCCCCUGACGGUAUCUAACCAGAAAGCCACGGCUAACUACGUGCCAGCAGCCGCGGUAAUACGUAGGUGGCAAGCGUUGUCCGGAUUUAUUGGGCGGAAAGCGAGCGCAGGCGGUUUCUUAAGUCUGAUGUGAAAGCCCCCGGCUCAACCGGGGAGGGUCAUUGGAAACUGGGAGACUUGAGUGCAGAAGAGGAGAGUGGAAUUCCAGGUGUAGCGGUGAAAUGCGUAGAUAUAUGGAGGAACACCAGUGGCGAAGGCGGCUCUCUGGUCUGUAACUGACGCUGAGGCUCGAAAGCGUGGGGAGCAAACAGG
rnacentral:rRNA from 1 species